rnacentral:rRNA from 1 species
UACGUAGGGUGCGAGCGUUAAUCGGAAUUACUGGGCGUAAAGCGUGCGCAGGCGGCCGCGCAAGUCGAGUGUGAAAGCCCCGAGCUUAACUUGGGAACUGCGCUCGAAACUACGUGGCUGGAGUGUGGCAGAGGAAGGUGGAAUUCCAGGUGUAGCGGUGAAAUGCGUAGAGAUCUGGAGGAACACCGAUGGCGAAGGCAGCCUUCUGGGCCAACACUGACGCUCAUGCACGAAAGCGUGGGGAGCAAACAGG